rnacentral:rRNA from 1 species
GAUGAACGCUGGCGGCGUGCAUAACACAUUCAAGUCGAACGGACGCGACGGGAGCUUGCUCCUGUCAAGUUAGUGGCGGACGGGUGAGUAACGCGUGAGCAACCUGCCUUACAAAGCGGGAUAACAUCGGGAAACUGGUGCUAAUACCGCAUAACGUAUACUGUACGCAUGUAUAGUAUACCAAAGUAGCAAUACGAUGUAAGAUGGGCUCGCGUCUGAUUAGGUAGUUGGUGAGGUAACGGCUCACCAAGCCGACGAUCAGUAGCCGGACUGAGAGGUUGAUCGGCCACAUUGGGACUGAGACACGGCCCAA